rnacentral:rRNA from 1 species
GAUGAACGCUGGCGGCGUGCCUAAUACAUGCAAGUCGAGCGAACGGACGAGAAGCUUGCUUCUCUGAUGUUAGCGGCGGACGGGUGAGUAACACGUGGAUAACCUACCUAUAAGACUGGGAUAACUUCGGGAAACCGGAGCUAAUACCGGAUAAUAUUUUGAACCGCAUGGUUCAAAAGUGAAAGACGGUCUUGCUGUCACUUAUAGAUGGAUCCGCGCUGCAUUAGCUAUAUGGUAAGGUAACGGCUUACCAAGGCAACGAUGCAUAGCCGACCUGAGAGGGUGAUCGGCAACACUGGAACUGAGACACGGUCCAGACUCCUACGGGAGGCAGCAGUAGGGAAUCUUCCGCAAUGGGCGGCAGCCUGACGGAGCAACGCCGCGUGAGUGAUGAAGGUCUUCGGAUCGUAAAACUCUGUUAUUAGGGAAGAACAUAUGUGUAAGUAGCUGUGCACAUCUUGACGGUACCUAAUCAGAAAGCCACGGCUAACUACGUG